rnacentral:rRNA from 1 species
UACGGAGGGUGCAAGCGCUAUCCGGAUUCACUGGGUUUAAAGGGUGCGUAGGUGGGUUGAUAAGUCAGUGGUGAAAUCCCCGAGCUUAACUUGGGAACUGCCAUUGAUACUAUUGAUCUUGAAUACCGUGGAGGUCAGCGGAAUAUGUCAUGUAGCGGUGAAAUGCUUAGAUAUGACAUAGAACACCAAUUGCGAAGGCAGCUGGCUACGCGAAUAUUGACACUGAUGCACGAAAGCGUGGGGAUCAAACAGG